CAAGUACUCCCUCCGUACGGAAUUACUUGUCAUCAAAAUGGAUGUGUCUAGAACUAAAAUACAUCCAGAUACAUCCAUUUCAAUGACAAGUAUUUUCGGACAGAGGGAGUACAAG
rnacentral:pre_miRNA from 1 species